UGCAGGACAGUGGGAUGUGGCACUGUUGGGAGGCUGAUUACAGUCUGUGCUGUGACUCAUGGUGUCAUGAUGUCCUUAACCAGACCCCUGAUGCGAACAAAUACAACGUGAGCUCAUUAUUAGCUGCUGUGAUUGAGCCUCCCAGAGAAAAGGGGAAAAGACAGAAAGGGCACUUGUGUCAUUAACGGGGACGGAGCAGCGAGCCUGCAGCCACCGGUGAGCAGGUAUCCACCAUGUGUGAGGCUGCUGCAUCCAUCGAAACACCGUCCGCAGCGACUGAACCUGCUGUGACUUUGUCCCGACUGCCUGCUCCUGAAGAAACGCCGUCCGAGGCUGUGCUGUCCACAGCGGGUUUGUUGCUGGUGGUCUUGUCCGAGGGCACGUGGCCAGUCCUCUCCACAUAGAAGAGGAUGUAGGCCUUGGCCUUCCUCACAGUGUCCUCAUUGGUCAGAGAUACUGUGCUGUCGUUGAAGUGGUACCAGCCGCCCUUGUGCCUGCCAUAUGCUGUAUAAUGCCCUGAUCCAACCCUGUGAACACAGACAUCCAUCAGCUUCUACUCUCUGGCUUCCUACAAGACCUCAUUUCCUGCUGCUGAGGGGAGAGGGAUGCAGCAGCGCAACAUCGCCACUUAGAGGCCAAAGGCAAAACAGCAGCACUUUGAUCAACAGUUCCUCCUGGCAUGUAUAAAUGCUUUUCAAGGACUCUCAGCCUAACGGCUUUCAGCAUUUAGUGGCUUCAUGCGUUUUUUAACUGCAGCUGUCUACAAGGCUUUUGAACAAAACUGGAUCUGUACUGUUAAUAUAGCUCUGGAGUGACUGACAGCUGACUGUGGUAGGUAGAGCUGCUGAGAUAUACAAGUGUUGAGUCAAUUAUGCUCAGACAAUGACUAAGGCACAUCUAGGCUGCUGUCAGUGCUCAUUGAGACAGUCAAUUAUGAGAAAAUGCAUUUUCUAGUCUUCCAUUUUCAUAAGCACUGAAAUGCUGAUCAUAUGAUUAAGUCUCAAAAAUGUUCUACUCACCCGGAACCGUGAUGCACCACAACAGCCGCAAGGUCGUACAGGCAUCUCCCUGGUACAGAGUUCUCUGGCUACAAACGUAAGAGCAAGAUGAGAAUUUACACAAGUGAUCCUGGAUUCUUUCCCUCUUCUUUCCCCCUUCCAUCCCUCUCUUGUUUUUUCUCCCCUUCAAAGUCGCCCUCCUCAGGUCUGUUGGAGAUGUUUUCCCUGUCCAUUGUCACAUGUGCUUGGUCAUUGUGGGAACGAUGGGUUUCUCUCUAUAUUUUCAUAUGGUCUAUACUUUAUGAUGUUAACUGAUUCGAGAUAAGUUAGUUGGGAUUUGGAGAUUUGCAAAUAAACCUAAAUUGAAUUUC